GGGUUGUGAGGUUAAGCGACUAAGCGUACACGGUGGAUGCCCUGGCAGUCAGAGGCGAUGAAGGACGUGCUAAUCUGCGAUAAGCGCCGGUAAGGUGAUAUGAACCGUUAUAACCGGCGAUUUCCGAAUGGGGAAACCCAGUGUGACUCGUCACACUAUCAUUAACUGAAUCCAUAGGUUAAUGAGGCGAACCGGGGGAACUGAAACAUCUAAGUACCCCGAGGAAAAG
rnacentral:rRNA from 1 species